UGGGGAAUUUUGGACAAUGGGCGAAAGCCUGAUCCAGCAAUGCCGCGUGUGUGAAGAAGGCCUUCGGGUUGUAAAGCACUUUUGUCCGGAAAGAAAUCCUUGGCUCUAAUACAGUCGGGGGAUGACGGUACCGGAAGAAUAAGCACCGGCUAACUACGUGCCAGCAGCCGCGGUAAUACGUAGGGUGCAAGCGUUAAUCGGAAUUACUGGGCGUAAAGCGUGCGCAGGCGGUUUGCUAAGACCGAUGUGAAAUCCCCGGGCUCAACCUGGGAACUGCAUUGGUGACUGGCAGGCUAGAGUAUGGCAGAGGGGGGUAGAAUUCCACGUGUAGCAGUGAAAAUGCGUAGAGAUGUGGAGGAAUACCGAUGGCGAAGGCAGCCCCCUGGGCCAAUACUGACGCUCAUGCACGAAAAGCGUGGGGAGCAAAACAGGAUUAGAUACCCUGGUAGUCCACGCCCUAAAACGAUGUCAACUAGUUGUUGGGGAUUCAUUUCCUUAGUAACGUAGCUAACGCGUGAAGUUGACCGCCUGGGGAGUACGGUCGCAAGAUUAAAACUUAAAGGAAUUGACGGGGUCAUAGCUGUUUCCU
rnacentral:rRNA from 1 species